rnacentral:ncRNA from 2 species
UUCUUGCGUCGCGACUGGCGUCUGGGUGGGUCACCACCGGGGAGCGGCCUCAUAGGAAUCGACCGCGCGCCUGGGCCGAUGAG